GUGAGAUAGUCAGUAGAGUUCAAUUCUGUACCGUGACGUGGCAAUAUAACAAUACUUCCUCGGGCAGACCACCAAACCAAACACAGAGUGCAGAUACCCUCACCAAAGCGCAUUAGAAUCUCAUAGCUCGAGAUGAGCACUUCGUAUCUUCAACAACUUUGCAUACUUCAAUUGGUCUGGUGCCUUGGAUGUUGGAAGGCGACAGAAGCUUGUCCAUACAAAGAGUGUGAACAUGGAAUUGUUUUCAGAAGGGGUUCUGGGAUCCAGACUGAUGUUGGUGAUAUGAUGGGGAGAGAUCAGAAUGAGGAGCAAGUUCAGAAUGUUUUCAAAAGAUUCCUGUUUCACUAUUCAAAGGCCAACUCAGUAGACUCUGUACAGCAUGCGGCAUUCCCCUCUAGUCCCAUUCAGUGCACCCGCUGAUGCGCCUGUCACCCAAACUGUCUCAGAGGAGAAAGAAGCAGCUCAUGCUUUUGAAGCACUCUGUGUGAUGUAAAAAUCUGACUUUAGAAUAACUGGAAAGAAGACAUCAGCAUACUGCAACCCCCCUGAACAUGGAGCACAAAAUGGCAGACUGAGGGACAGACAGAAGCAGCAUCCUCAGUGUUCUCUGGCAAUGGACUUGAUAUUUUUGAGAAAUAAAUGAUUGCAGAUUGUGAA